UCAAGAUGAGCUCAAUCUUGGAUGCUAUGGGCUUGCCUAUGGCCCGCUCCCACUUAAUAUUUUAGAAGAAAUACUUUAAGAUAAUUUUAGUAACUAUCUUAAAAUAAAUUAUAUAUCAUGAGAAUUUUCAAAACUUUUAUUGAUUACUUGAAUUGGAAUUCUUAUGCCAAAUAGGGAUAUUUUUCAAAUUCUUUGUCCUUGAACUUACCUUUUCAAACUAAACGGUUUCUUUCUUCUCUCAAGGGGUGGGGAAAGAAAGAGAAAGAGAGAGAGAGGGAGAGAGAGAGAGAGCUUGGAGAACCACAUAACCCAAAUAAAGGAAAG
rnacentral:lncRNA from 1 species